AUUGAACGCUGGCGGCAUGCCUUACACAUGCAAGUCGAACGGCAGCACGGGAGCAAUCCUGGUGGCGAGUGGCGAACGGGUGAGUAAUAUAUCGGAACGUGCCCAGUCGUGGGGGAUAACGCAGCGAAAGCUGUGCUAAUACCGUAUACGAUCUAAGGAUGAAAGCGGGGGAUCGCAAGACCUCGCGCGAUUGGAGCGGCCGAUAUCAGAUUAGCUAGUUGGUGGGGUAAAGGCCCACCAAGGCGACGAUCUGUAGCUGGUCUGAGAGGACGACCAGCCACACUGGAACUGAGACACGGUCCAGACUCCUACGGGAGGCAGCAGUGGGGAAUUUUGGACAAUGGGCGCAAGCCUGAUCCAGCAAUGCCGCGUGCAGGAUGAAGGCCUUCGGGUUGUAAACUGCUUUUGUACGGAACGAAACGGCCCUUUCUAAUACAGGGGGCUAUGACGGUACCGUAAGAAUAAGCACCGGCUAACUACGUGCCAGCCGCCGCGGUAAAAC
rnacentral:rRNA from 1 species